rnacentral:rRNA from 1 species
AAGACCUUAUGCUUUUGGAGCGGCCGAUGUCUGAUUAGCUAGUUGGUGGGGUAAUUGCCUACCAAGGCGACGAUCAGUAGUUGGUCUGAGAGGACGACCAGCCACACUGGGACUGAGACACGGCCCAGACUCCUACGGGAGGCAGCAGUGGGGAAUUUUGGACAAUGGGCGCAAGCCUGAUCCAGCAAUGCCGCGUGAGUGAAGAAGGCCUUCGGGUUGUAAAGCUCUUCCAGUUGAGAAGAAAAGAUUGUAACUAAUAAUUACAGUUCAUGACGGUAUCAACAGAAGAAGCACCGGCUAACUACGUGCCAGCAGCCGCGGUAAUACGUAGGGUGCGAGCGUUAAUCGGAAUUACUGGGCGUAAAGGGUGCGCAGGCGGUUUUGUAAGUCAGAUGUGAAAUCCCCGGGCUUAACCUGGGAACU